UAGGGAAUCUUCGGCAAUGGGGGGAACCCUGACCGAGCAACGCCGCGUGAGUGAAGAAGGUUUUCGGAUCGUAAAGCUCUGUUGUUAAGGAAGAACGAGUGUGAGAAUGGAAAGUUCAUACUGUGACGGUACUUAACCAGAAAGGGACGGCUAACUACGUGCCAGCAGCCGAGGUAAUACGUAGGUCCCGAGCGUUGUCCGGAUUUAUUGGGCGUAAAGCGAGCGCAGGCGGUUAGAAAAGUCUGAAGUGAAAGGCAGUGGCUCAACCAUUGUAGGCUUUGGAAACUGUUUAACUUGAGUGCAGAAGGGGAGAGUGGUAUUCCAUGUGUAGCGGUGAAAUGCGUAGAUAUAUGGAGGAACACCGGUGGCGAAAGCGGCUCUCUGGUCUGUAACUGACGCUGAGGCUCGAAAGCGUGGGGAGCGAACAGG
rnacentral:rRNA from 1 species